rnacentral:tRNA from 1 species
GGGUCGGUAGCUCAAUUGGUAGAGCACCUGAUUCCAAAUCAGGCGGUUGAGGGUUCAAUUCCUUCCCGGCCCGCCA